GUCUGCACUUGUCGGGGAAGGGUGAGAACCCUCGAUUAAGGUUCGACUCGAGCGAAAGCGAGAGAACGUUGCCAACGGCAACGGCCCGCAGGGUGAGGAGCGAAGCGACGAAUAAUCCUUCCCCCACCACCA
rnacentral:sRNA from 1 species